UGGGCCCAAGCUAAAAUCAAAUGAGAGGGAGUUUGAAACAAACUCAUAAUCCUCCCUCACACGUUCCAACGUUCAAACAUCCUUCCCGGUCCUCCGCGCCGGAGCUCAUUGUCGGCGGCGACGGAGCUCCAAAAUUGAAAAUAGACCCUUCAAUCCCUCUGUUUCAACCUGUUGAUCGUGAAUCCCCGACCCAAAACCUCUAGUUUCUAAAUACAAGAUUAAAUCAAAAAAGAAACAACAGGAACCCAUUCCUAAAUCUAUAAGCAAAAAUUAAAUGGUGAAGAAAUGGAAUAAAAGCCUCAAACCAGAGGGCUUUGAUUCCCUGGAACUUGCUCAAUAAGGUGGUAUGCAUUAUUGAAGCAACCAGAGUGUUUAGGAUUCUACCUCGUCGGAGAAGAUGACCGGAACAAUGACAAUGGACGUGUUUCAGGUUAGUUCUUUUCUUUAAAACCUCUUUGUGUAUCUUGUUCUUCUUCUUCUGGGUUCGAAAAUUUUAUGUGUGGGUAAGAGUUGAGAGACAGAGUGAUUUAAUAUGGGUCGAAUGUUGGGGUUUUAAAGAUAUGGUAGCCAACUUGUUUAGGGUUUUUGAUCAUGCAGUCGGCCUCAUUUUGUUCCUUUGAGUUGUUCUUUUUAUAGUGUAAGGUUAGGGCUUUUGAAUCAUGGAAAACUAAUGCAAAUGGAAUGGUGGGAUGGAAAUGUUGUGCUGCAAAAAAUGGUCUGAUCCAAUGCGUGUUUGAUUCUGAAAAGUUUUUGCACCUUCGUACCUUUUGCGCAUGCUUUUAUUAUUAUUUUGGAUUAUCGUGGUUUUUACUUCCUUGCCAUGUUAGUGUGUCUUUUUACUGCAGUAAAAUGUGAGUAAGUGAGUGGAAAGUAUGUUUUUGCAUUGCUUGCCUUGCCUUUAUUUGUUGUGAGCUAUCAUUACCUUAAUGCUUGUUGAUGUUUAAUGUUGAAGUUGCAAGUUUGUUGCUUGUGGAUUGCAUGGCCAUUGGAAUUAUUUGUGAUUUUGGGAUGCAGGUUAUUGUCAUAGCCUGCUCGUGGUUGUUGAUUGCUGCAGCUUGGUGUAUGAUAUGCAUUAUAGGACUAUAAUUACUGCUUGGUGCAUUUGGAAUGCCAUGGUUUAGGCUUGUGAUGUUGCAGGUUGCUAUUACAAGUUAUUUGGUUGCCUUGUUGAAGAUGCAAUUGUCGUUGUGUACAUUGAUGAUGAUGGUACUGCAUUACUGCAGAUUCUUGCUUGAACUAAUGCAGGUUUUGCAUUGGAAUGUUGCAGGCUUGGUUUGAUGGUGUGCAGACUGGUGAAUGGACUGUUUGCAAGGCUCGUAUGGUUUGUUCAUGUGAUGUUGAAAGGCCAUUUACAGGACUGGCGCAGGGUUUCAAUGGUUUUGUUGUAGGCUUACUAAUGUGAUAAGUUACAUUGCUUGUUGUCUCAUUGUUGCAAACCUGUUAUGGUUUGUUGUUUGCCACAGUUUGUAGGAUUGAUGUGGGUGAUGUUGUGCUGGUUGUCGUGCAGGUUUGUUGUUGCAUCCUGUGAUGGUUCUAAAAAAUGGCAUGGAACAUGGAAACAAGUGGAGCAUUGCAAUGGCACAAGAACAUGUGGGCUACCAUGAGAACUAUUCAUUGUUUGUUCAUUUUGAUCCAAAUGCACAAUGUAAUUAAUUCUAGGUGGUUUUAGGCUAGAGCUUAAGGUGUAAGAUCAUGAUAUAAAACAUGUAUGUAUAUGAACUCAUGCUUGACAUGUAAUGCAAGAAAAAAGGUUUUAAUUCAAAUUGAAUAAAAACUCAAUCAUUCAAUCA